rnacentral:rRNA from 1 species
GACGAACGCUGGCGGCGUGCUUAACACAUGCAAGUCGAACGAAGUGGCGAACGGGUGAGUAAUACGUGGGUAACCUGCCCUCCUUUUUGGGAUAAGCCUUGGAAACGGGGUCUAAUACCGAAUAAAGGGGGAUGGGCUCGCGGCCUAUCAGCUUGUUGGUGGGGUGAUGGCCUACCAAGGCGGUGACGGGUAGCCGGCCUGAGAGGGUGACCGGCCACAUUGGGACUGAGAUACGGCCCAGACUCCUACGGGAGGCAGCAGUGGGGGAUAUUGCACAAUGGGCGAAAGCCUGAUGCAGCGACGCCGCGUGGGGGAUGAAGGCUUUCGGGUUGUAAAGGACUUUUGUUAGGAAAACGGUACCUAAAGAAUAAGCACCGGCUAACUACGUGCCAGCAGCCGCGGUAAUUC